rnacentral:rRNA from 1 species
UACGUAGGGGGGCAAGCGUUGUCCCGGAUUUACUGGGCGUAAAGAGCGUGUAGGCGGCCCGGUAAGUCCGCUGUAAAAGUCAAAGGCUCAACCUUUGAAUGUCAGUGGAUACUGCCGGGCUAGAGUCCGGAAGAGGCGAGUGGAACUCCUGGUGUAGCGGUGGAAUGCGCAGAUAUCAGGAAGAACACCAACGGCGAAGGCAGCUCGCUAGGACGGUACUGACGCUGAGACGCGAAAGCGUGGGGAGCGAACAGG